UUUCCCGUUCCAGGGGGACCCUGUGAAAAAUUCAAAUGAUCAAUUUUCAUGGUUCAGCAUGCACUAAUACAAAAUGACUCCUACAUUAUGAACAGUUCUUUAGUGUCAAUUGGAAACACAAUUUUUCAACAAAGGCAUUCAAUCUAAGGAAGCUCUCAAUAGAUGACCUCGUUCUUAAUAGCUUCAACCAUAUAACAAAAAAUGGAAAAACAAAAAAAUACUCCCUUCGUCCACAAAUAAUAGCCACAUUUGGAGUUUUCAUGGUGAUUAAGGAAAUGAUUGGAUAACCUCAUUUUAUG
rnacentral:misc_RNA from 1 species